CUAUCAUUAACUGAAUCCAUAGGUUAAUGAGGCGAACCGGGGGAACUGAAACAUCUAAGUACCCCGAGGAAAAGAAAUCAACCGAGAUUCCCCCAGUAGCGGCGAGCGAACGGGGAGCAGCCCAGAGCCUGAAUCAGUGUGUGUGUUAGUGGAAGCGUCUGGAAAGGCGCGCGAUACAGGGUGACAGCCCCGUACACAAAAAUGCACAUACUGUGAGCUCGAUGAGUAGGGCGGGACACGUGGUAUCCUGUCUGAAUAUGGGGGGACCAUCCUCCAAGGCUAAAUACUCCUGACUGACCGAUAGUGAACCAGUACCGUGAGGGAAAGGCGAAAAGAACCCCGGCGAGGGGAGUGAAAAAGAACCUGAAACCGUGUACGUACAAGCAGUGGGAGCCUCUUUAUGGGGUGACUGCGUACCUUUUGUAUAAUGGGUCAGCGACUUAUAUUCUGUAGCAAGGUUAACCGAAUAGGGGAGCCGAAGGGAAACCGAGUCUUAACUGGGCGUUAAGUUGCAGGGUAUAGACCCGAAACCCGGUGAUCUAGCCAUGGGCAGGUUGAAGGUUGGGUAACACUAACUGGAGGACCGAACCGACUAAUGUUGAAAAAUUAGCGGAUGACUUGUGGCUGGGGGUGAAAGGCCAAUCAAACCGGGAGAUAGCUGGUUCUCCCCGAAAGCUAUUUAGGUAGCGCCUCGUGAAUUCAUCUCCGGGGGUAGAGCACUGUUUCGGCAAGGGGGUCAUCCCGACUUACCAACCCGAUGCAAACUGCGAAUACCGGAGAAUGUUAUCACGGGAGACACACGGCGGGUGCUAACGUCCGUCGUGAAGAGGGAAACAACCCAGACCGCCAGCUAAGGUCCCAAAGUCAUGGUUAAGUGGGAAACGAUGUGGGAAGGCCCAGACAGCCAGGAUGUUGGCUUAGAAGCAGCCAUCAUUUAAAGAAAGCGUAAUAGCUCACUGGUCGAGUCGGCCUGCGCGGAAGAUGUAACGGGGCUAAACCAUG
rnacentral:rRNA from 1 species